AUGCCUCUAAGUCGUGCUUCGACACGUGGGAGAUAUAGCUGCAUCAAGGGCGUUACAAUUGGAUUACAAAGGCUAAAGAUGGUACCAUCUGGCUCUCGCACUAGAGUUUUUCUGGAUGUUGGCUUUGGAGUAACAAGUUUUGGGCCAUACUUAAUUUCACGUGAAUUUGAGCAUGGUGUUCCUGUAAUGGUGGCAACUAAUUUAACACCGGCUAUUAUCCAAUGUUCCUGCUGUAGAAUAAAUUCGACAUGUGAUGGUGAGCUGAGGUAUAGUCAUGCUUCGUCUAAUACACCUGAAUCCUUUUCUUGA
rnacentral:rRNA from 1 species